rnacentral:lncRNA from 1 species
CGAGAAAAAAAAAAUUGCACUUUAUUGUGAUCAGUAUCACUCCUCUCCACUGCGCUAUGCAAUAACGAAUUGGUGGGUGUGAAUGCGCGGACCACCUUCAGUCUGAAGCAUGAGUGCGCGCACAUGAAAAGCCACUGUGGGCAGAGAGGAAAUGUUUCCGUUCUUUGGUUUCUUCCUCGCAUAGUUCGUCACACCAGAUC